rnacentral:rRNA from 1 species
AGAGUUUGAUCAUGGCUCAGGAUGAACGCUGGCGGCGUGCCUAAUACAUGCAAGUCGAACGCUUUGUCUUUAAUUGAUCUGACGAGCUUGCUCUGAUGUGAUUUUAUCUGACAAAGAGUGGCGCACGGGUGAGUAACACGUGGGUGACCUACCUCUUAGCAGGGGAUAGCACUUGGAAACAAGUGCUAAUACCGUAUAAUACCAACAACCGCAUGGUUGUUGGUUGAAAGAUGGUUCUGCUAUCACUAAGAGAUGGACCCGCGGUGCAUUAGCUAGUUGGUAAGGUAACGGCUUACCAAGGCAAUGAUGCAUAGCCGAGUUGAGAGACUGAUCGGCCACAAUGGGACUGAGACACGGCCCAUACUCCUACGGGAGGCAGCAGUAGGGAAUCUUCCACAAUGGGCGCAAGCCUGAUGGAGCAACGCCGCGUGUGUGAUGAAGGGUUUCGGCUCGUAAAACACUGUUAUAAGAGAAGAACGGCACUGAGAGUAACUGUUCAGUGUGUGACGGUAUCUUACCAGAAAGGAACGGCUAAAUACGUGCCAGCAGCCGCGGUAAUACGUAUGUUCCAAGCGUUAUCCGGAUUUAUUGGGCGUAAAGCGAGCGCAGACGGUUAUUCAAGUCUGAAGUGAAAGCCCUCAGCUCAACUGAGGAAUGGCUUUGGAAACUGGAUGACUUGAGUGCAGUAGAGGAAAGUGGAACUCCAUGUGUAGCGGUGAAAUGCGUAGAUAUAUGGAAGAACACCAGUGGCGAAGGCGGCUUUCUGGACUGUAACUGACGUUGAGGCUCGAAAGUGUGGGUAGCAAACAGGAUUAGAUACCCUGGUAGUCCACACCGUAAACGAUGAGUGCUAGAUGUUCGAGGGUUUCCGCCCUUGAGUGUCGCAGCU